ensembl:lncRNA
CAACCUCCCAGUCUAAUGACAUCUGAAGUCUGCGAUUCCGAACAGAGCACGCCUUGACUCGGAGUCUCCAUCCCUAAAGGAUGGAGAGAGAGCAGGAUGUGUCCCAUGGACCCUCCUAAACCUCGAUAAACCUUGCUCCCAAAUAAAGUUCACGGUAUUAUUUAAUCACUGAACGGGAAUAAAACACAUCCACAUCGUCUCGUUUUAAUUCUGAACCACCGGGUGUGUUUUUUCCCGGUGCCUUGGAUGUGGGUGUUGAGCGCCUUUCAUUACGCUGGUGAUGUAGCGGAAACGGGCGGGCGGAUGUGAUGAAGUCUUCUCGCUAGAUAAAUAAGAUAUGAACGCUUCUUUCAGCACUGGCAGCAUCAACGCUAUAUUUCUUCGUAGUGGCUUAAAACUCCCAAGCCGAUAAACACGGGAUGAUUUCGAGAAAAUAAAGUAAUACGCCCUGAAUACGCUCAAAGCGAGAUUUACGCCUUGUCCUAGAAUCUGGAGCCGACAGCGAGGGGUGGCUGCGCAGCGACCCCGUUUAGGAGCUCUGAAUCCCGGUCUGGGAACGGAGGAAGCGUCGGUGGGGCCACCAGCGAUACAGGACUUCUGGCAGCGGGUUAUGGCUGCGGACAGCCCGCUUAGGUCGAAAUGAGAGGUGUUGGAAACAUGGAGGGUCGGUUCCUGUCUAUGUAGACGGUUUGACGACGAGAGUGGUCUGUACUCUGUCUGUCUGUGUGUGUGUGUGUGCGUGCGUUAGUAUGUGCGUGCACGUUGAUGGACAUGGUGCCUGUGUUCUCUUCCGGAAGCGCGGCACACACACAGACACGUGCGGG